AGCUUUCUGAAUUCGUGCUGAGAUUUCAUCAGACACCAGACCAUAAGGAUUGAUCGGACUCUUAAGAUAAAUGAAGCA
rfam:Schistosoma curassoni strain Dakar, Senegal genome assembly, scaffold: SCTD_scaffold0001412